rnacentral:rRNA from 1 species
AACGAACGCUGGCGGCAGGCUUAACACAUGCAAGUCGAACGAAGUCUUCGGACUUAGUGGCGGACGGGGGAGUAACACGGGGGAACGUACCUUUUGGUUCGGAACAACUCAGGGAAACUUGAGCUAAUACCGGAUGAGCCCUUAGGGGGAAAGAUUUAUCGCCGAUAGAGAGGCCCGCGUUAGAUUAGCUAGUUGGUGAGGUAAAGGCUCACCAAGGCUACGAUCUAUAGCUGGUCUGAGAGGAUGAUCAGCCACACUGGGACUGAGACACGACCCAGACUACUACGGGAGGCAGCAGUGGGGAAUCUUGCGCAAUGGGCGAAAGCCUGACGCAGCCAUGCCGCGUGAAUGAUGAAGGACUUAGGAUUGUAAAAUUCUUUUACCAGGGACGAUAAUGACGGUACCUGAAGAAAAAGCCCCGGCUAACUUCGUGCCAGCCGCCGCAGUAACAC